GACGAACGCUGGCGGCGUGCCUAAUACAUGCAAGUCGAACGCAGUGGGGACGGGUGAGUAACACGUGGGUAACCUCCCAUCAGAGGGGAUAACACUUGGAAACAGGUGCUAAACCGAUACUGAUGGAUGGACCCGCGGUGCCUUAGCUAGUGGGUGAGGUAACGGCUCACCAAGGCCACGAUGCAUAGCCGACCUGGGAGGGGAAUCGGCCGCACGGGGACUGAGAAAGGGCCCAAAAUCCGACGGGAGGCAGCAGUAGUGAAUCUUCGGCAAUGGACGAAAGUCUGACCGAGCAACGCCGCGUGAGUGAAGAAGGUUUUCGGAUCGUAAAACUCUGGUGUUAGAGAAGCGGUAUCUAACCAGAAAGCCACGGCUAACUACGUGCCAGCAGCCGCGAUAAUAC
rnacentral:rRNA from 1 species